AUUAAGUGAUUCGAUGUUCAGUCUGGCCUAUAUACAGGGAACUUAUCUAUCUAAUCAGCCGAACUUCUACAAGGUUCUCUUUAAUUUUUAUACUGUCUGGAAACUUAUUGAAAAAUUUAUCUUUAGCCUUUCAAGAUUAUAAUAAUAAUAAUUCUUGCAUAGACCAAGCCCAAUUUGAACCGAAAUAUAAAUAUGUGAGAUCCUAUCAUAUAUUUAGUGUUUCAAGUUAGACCAAAUUUAAGUUAAAAAAAAAAA
rnacentral:misc_RNA from 1 species